CUCCUUAAGAGGUUGAAGGGAUCCCCUUUGCUUUAACAUGGGGGUACCUGCUGUGUGAAACAAAAGUAAGUGCUUCCAUGUUUCAGUGGAGGUGUCUCCAAGCCAGCACACCUUUUGU
rnacentral:pre_miRNA from 8 species